rnacentral:lncRNA from 1 species
AUGGGGGGAGACUAUGGCUCCCAAAGCCUAAAGCAAUCCUUCCGUCCCAAAUCCGCGCCCUGGAGCGCCGAGGCCGGGCCAGAGCUGGCAGAACCUGGCAGCACCCCGCUGACCUCCCAACGGGCAGCAGCCAGCGGCCCGGCCGAGCCCGCAGACACACCACGGAGAUGGGUUAAGGGCAAGGACGGAGGGUGGCGCAGGUCCUGGGACGGCCGUAAGGACCUUCCAGAAAGCCUUUCGAAAGGUCAGAUCGGCCAGAUCCGGACCGCAAGCCCCUCCGGGUGCCUUAUCCCUAGAGAAGAGACCAGAGGUGGUGUCAGCGCAGCCUGCCGCACUGCAGCUGGCACGGAGGAGCGCGCAGGGAGCGCAGCCGCCGCCGAUCUCGCUCGCCGCUGCGCCCGACCCGUCUCCCCUCCUGCGCCGGGCAAAGGCGCUCCCGACGCAUGGAAAGCGCCUGCACUUGGCGUGAGGGACCGAGCAGCACGUCCUGAAGCAGGGUCGCUAUAUUUAUCAGGCGUGAAGGGAGACACCCGGCAGCAUCUCCGGGGCGGCCAGCGGCCCCCGAAAGACUUACCGGUGCCUGGUGGGGGCUCCCGUGCUGGCUCUCUGCUCCGCGGCGGGGGGCAUUCGAAGCCAUGCCCUGGUGUGAGAUGCAGAGAAACGCGACUGUUAGCGCCGCGGGAGCCAGGGCCGAGCGGUGGCACCGUGUCCCCAGCCGGUGGCAGGAUGGCGCGUGGAGCCCGCACCCCGUGGCCCGCUCAUCCCGCUGCGGCGCAGCAAACGCGGUCACCCAGAGACCUGUGCUUGUCCGCCGCGGCGGGACCGGCUGCAACACGCCGCUUCUCCUCCCCGGCCCAGAAGACUUCAGCGUCGAGGAGCGGGUCAAAAAAUAACCCGCUUUCAUCGGAUCGGCGAGCUUGGCGCAACAGGAUCCUGCGCCGGGUGCAAGGUCCCGCCACCUGGUGCCCUUUACAGCGCGCUCGCGGCGCGGCGCGGCAUGCAGCACGGUGCCGCGCGGCACGGCCGCCCCGCGAAGGCCCGGGAGCGCCCUACAUGGGGACCUCCGGGCUCACGCCCGCCGCGCCUGGGCGCCCGUUAAUAAACAUUAGCGAAUCGCUGGGGCCUUCGCUGGCCGCCCGCAYGGGUCAAGAUGUGCUUGUCAGUCACGGCGGGCCCCGCUCCCGCGCUCGCAAAAUCUCUCCUGCCGGGAAGGGGUCGCGCGAGGGGCAGGUCUAUAUUUGUCGCUCUGAGCUGGGACAGCGGCGGUAG